rnacentral:rRNA from 1 species
CCUACGGGUGACAGCAGUGAGGAAUAUUGGUCAAUGGGCGAGAGCCUGAACCAGCCAAGUCGCGUGAGGGAGUACUGCCCUAUGGGUUGUAAACCUCUUUUGUCGGGGAGCAAAAGCCGGACGUGUCCGGCUGUGAGAGUACCCGAAGAAAAAGCAUCGGCUAACUCCGUGCCAGCAGCCGCGGUAAUACGGAGGAUGCGAGCGUUAUCCGGAUUUAUUGGGGUUAAAGGGUGCGCAGGCGGAUUUUUAAGUCAGCGGUCAAAUCGUGGGGCUCAACCCCAUCCAGCCGUUGAAACUGGGGAUCUAGAGUGUGCGAGAGGUAUGCGGAAGGCGUGGUGUAGCGGUGAAAUGCAUAGAUAUCACGCAGAACCCCGAUUGCGAAGGCAGCAUACCGGUGCACAACUGACGCUCAGGCACGAAAGCGUGGGUAUCGAACAGGAUUAGAUACCCCAGUAGUC